GAUGAACGCUAGCGGCAGGCCUAAUACAUGCAAGUCGAACGCUCAGUAGCAAUACUGGGAGUGGCGCACGGGUGCGUAACGCGUACACAAUCUACCUCUAAGCGGGGGACACCUCCUGGAAACGGGGAUUAAUACCGCAUAGUAUGCCGAAGUCGCAUGACUUUGGUAUUAAAGCAGCAAUGCACUUAGAGAUGAGUGUGCGUCCCAUUAGGUAGUUGGUGAGGUAACGGCUCACCAAGCCUAUGAUGGGUAGCCGGUCUGAGAGGAUGGUCGGCCACACGGGCACUGAGACACGGGCCCGACUCCUACGGGAGGCAGCAGUAAGGAAUAUUGGUCAAUGGUGGAAACACUGAACCAGCCAUGCCGCGUGGAGGAAUAAGGUCCCACGGAUUGUAAACUCCUUUUGACGAGGAAGAAAAUGUUAGAUUUAUCUAAUUUUGACGGUACUCGUAGAAUAAGCACCGGCUAACUCCGUGCCAGCAGCCGCGGUAAAGUAGUCG
rnacentral:rRNA from 1 species